GCCCCAAUAGCUCAGUCGGCAGAGCGUCUCCAUGGUAAGGAGAAGGUCUGGAGUUCGAUUCUCCAUUGGGGCU
rnacentral:tRNA from 1 species